UAAUUCACAGGAAAGACUCAGGUCCUUUUGUUCUCUUUUAAGAACAAACUAAGAAGUCACAAACCAUCAUGUAUGUGAUUGAUGGUGCUACUUCUCUGCAAUUAUUGUCUCUGCACAGUUCCUGAUUCUCUCUGAUGUGCCAGCUUUUCUAAAAUAGUUUCUGAAUGAUGACUAUGAGCAAUUGAUGGUCUGUAGCUCAUUUGAGAGCAUUUUAUUCUGAUCAGUCAAUGAGUCCCAAAGGGCUGGCUAGGGGCAGGACACCAGCCUUGCAGGGGUGGGAGGUGAGAGUGGCAGUGACCUCACAAAGGUCUGUUGCAGGAUCUCGUGGAGGAAAGGUGGUGAGGCUGCAGUGACCUCACAGAGAGACCUUGAUACCAGCCAUCGGGGCAAGGCAGAGGCAACCUCAGAGACCCUCCCUCCCCCACUUAUGGCUUAGUGGGAGGCCAUCCUAAAUAAGUGGGGCUGGAAUUGCUCUGAGACUGAGCCCCUCCAGUGGUGACCUGGGCCAUCCUUUGGGACAUCUGGUGAGACCUCUCAGGCUCCCCCUUCUCAGAAUCUCGAUGCUGAUUGGCUGAACAGGGGCUAUUGACAGGAAGAAGUUUUCCCAUUUUCCCAGCUGUGACCCAUGGCUGCCCCUUCCUUUGCAGGCUCUGCACAAGGGCUUGUCUGACCUCAGGCAGGCCAUGCUGGGGAACCUGCUGACAGAGUCCCCAGACACAGGCAGACUCCAAUACAUCUUGGAGAUUACUAUACACAUAGAGCAGAUGUUUGGAGGGAACUAGCCACAAUGAUUCUCUUUGAAUUUUCCUGCCACUUAGCUCAUUCCCUGGGAUCCUGUGAGAGAGCAAAGAAAAGCAGGCUGCAUGCAGCAGGAGUGAGCUCUAUCCAUUUAAAAAGCCACAAGAAUAUUUGCUGACAGAUCUUUGCAGUAAUUCUCCCGAUCUCCCCAAGAAUCAGAAGGAAGAACUCCCUUGUCAUUCAUCGGGAAUGCUAAAGGUCAUGAGGACACAACUGAGGGGGAACAAGCACCCUGUUUUAAAUCUCAGCUUGCGCUUUCCUUGUCUCUGUACAGUGCUGGAGUGUCUGGGACUAGUAGCAGGUUAUUUUUAGCCUCUUAGCCUAUUUUGCAGCUCCCAAGAGCACAAAACCUGGAUUCUUGCCUCCACUGUUCUUUGAUUUUGCUCUGUCUGCACUUCUGUUUGCAUGAGUACGAAGCCAAUGUGUGCACGUUGAUUCUCGUGUCACCUCCACUCCGAUGUACCAAAAACAGCAGCUGCAGACUAUUAUUCCGUGUGUUAUGGCAGGGCCUAGAAGCUGCAACCAAGAGCAGGGCUCCAUUGUGUCAGGUGCUGUACAAAGUGUAAGAAGCCAUUUCUGCCUUGAAGAGCUUCGUCUAACUAGCCAAAGGAAGUGCUAUAUUAUCCCCAUUUUACAGCAGGGUGACUGGGGCACAGAGACUUACCCAACACCAGACAGAUGAUCUCUAGCUAAGUCCAGAACUGAAUCCACCUCCCUGAGUCCCAGGCGAAUGCUUUAAUCACAAAUCUAACCUUCCUGUCAGGCAUCAGACACACAAUUAUUGUAUAAAUCACACCCAGACUAGAGCUCUUGCCUUCAGCACUAAACAAUGCAGGUCUUAAUCAUGUGCACUAAAGGAGAGCUCCUUGAAGUUACUAUCUGCAUCAGCUCUGUCAUACAGUUUAUGCGCUACAGCCACGAGAGGGUGACAUGGCUAAAAGCCAAUCCAUUACACUGCUCUGGGAUUAGAGGCUGGUAACCAGCCAGUUGCUGCAGGUACAUUGCUCUAAGUGUCUUGGGGUCUCCAGCCCUUCUGGAACCCAUUUUAGUCAGAGAGCAACAGUUAACGAGAUGGGCCAGGAUCAAACAUCUAGACCCUCCCCCCAAACUUUGUAGCUCAAACCCAUUUCAACAGAUGAUUGUGUGGAGGAAUAGCACAAAGCCACAGCUGUAGUUGUAGGAUGUCCUGAGAAAAGUGUGGUGAAAUCCUCUAUCAUUAUACAGCAGGUUUGGAUUAUUCCUAGAGGGAACCACAUAGGAAAAAAACAACAUGCUGUCUG